rnacentral:rRNA from 1 species
GACGAACGCUGGCGGCGUGCCUAACACACGCAAGUUGAGCGACGAACCAGGGCUUGCCCUGGGGCAAAGCAGCGAACGGGUGAGUAACACGUGGGUAACCUACCCCGAUAACCGGGACAACCCGAGGAAACUCGGGCUAAUACCGGAUGUGCUCACUGGACUUCGGUUCAGUGCGUAAAGGAAGCUUCGGCCUCCGUAUCGGGAGGGGCCCGCGGCCCAUUAGUUUGUUGGUGAGGUAACGGCUCACCAAGACCGCGAUGGGUAGCUGGUCUGAGAGGACGAUCAGCCACACUGGGACUGAGACACGGCCCAGACUCCUACGGGAGGCAGCAGUGGGGAAUCUUGCGCAAUGCGCGAAAGCGUGACGCAGCAACGCCGCGUGGGGGAAGAAGGCCUUCGGGUUGUAAACCCCUUUCAGGAGGGACGAAGGUUCGGCGGUGAAUAGCCGUCCGGACUGACGGUACCUCCACAAGAAGCCCCGGCUAACUACGUG